rnacentral:pre_miRNA from 1 species
AAUAAAUCAAUCUUUUACUUUUUACCUAUGAUAUUUGACUUUUCGUCUUAUUUAAAAAAAUUUAUGAUAUUUUUAUUUUUAUUAGACGAUAAAUCGUGAAUAGUACUUUACGUAUGACUAUUUUUUAUAAUUGGUUGAAAAAUUUUCAAAUAAAACGAAUGGUCAAACGCUGGACACGUAAACCAAAG